AGUGUCAUGCUGCUGGUGUCUGGUGGGGAACACGGCACCGUUCUUGAAAGUGGAGGCCAAUGCACAUUAUAUUGUGGUGUAAUCAAGGUUAAGAGGAUUUGAACGAAUUCUAUGCCAAUAGAAUAUAGAAGAAGCUUCACUAUUAGAGCGACAAGGAGGUGUCACAUUCUUAUCAUCCUUGCCUAGAAGAGAUUUGGGCAAAAAUAUGGCACUCUAUUUUGGGACUUCUGGUUUCCAUCAAGUUUAAGAGCUCAAUCGAUCCUCCAGGUCAGGUAGAUCGACUCAUCUUUUUUAGCUUAGUGAUUAUAUUUGUUUUGGAAAUUAUAUCUUAAUUAAGCAUUGAACAUUUUUGUGGCAGAACAUUUUAAACAUAGAUGGAGAAAC